UACCUGAGAGCACCUUAGAAAUAUGAUACAUCCAUUACAGAAAAUGAUUUUCCAAAAUAAGAAUUAUCACUUGUCUGCCAUCAUUAAAAAAAUGCUUUGUUUUUAUUUUCCUUUAAAAGGAUGUAUGUUCAAAACACCUCAAAGUCAUGUAUCUAAAUGCACUGAUUAUUGUUUUCAUCUAAAACACUGCUGUUUUUUUGGCAGAUGGUCAAUUCCUUUUCAUCAGACAUGGUGAGAAUCUGUAUCACCAUACAACUAUGACCCUGAGAUCAUUGGGGAGGACUCCACUGGGUUCAAUGCUCCAUCUGUAGCAUUGUUAACAGGGAUAUCCAUGUUUGUGCUGUUUGAAUGGGCUUGCUGCGAUGGGAUCUCCUCUUUGAAGUGGAACGACUGCUGGAAAUACUUCGAGAUCGAGAACAUCUCCUGCCACGUCUAUGCGAGUUCCUGCUGUGGCUCCUGGAGCGCGAAUGUUGUAGGGCUAGACGUGUUUGGAUGCACCUGAGACAGGUCCAUUUCUACAUGUUGUGAUACUCCAGCACAAUUUAGAUCGCUACACUGUGAAGCUGGAGGACUGACACUAGGGAAGCGGAUGUGCACUGGAAAAGCCUUCCUCCUGGCAACCAACCUCAUCAUCAUGCGCCGGACGUAGCGGUCUUGCGGCUGCUGAGAAGAAUUUCUAGAGGGUUCAAACAGCACUCCAUUGUCUGGAGGUGGAGAGGUCCUCCUUUGCAUCUGGCGAUUGACUCCAGUGAGAGUUGUUCGGUACCUAAACCGUUCUCCACCAAAAGUCCCAAAGGAGCCAUUAUCCGUUGGUCGCAGGUCAUACUGCUUGAAAUCUUGCUCGGACUUUAUACUGUGAUAGAUUGAAUUAAAUGGCUGUUUGCAUA